rnacentral:misc_RNA from 1 species
UUUUAGCCCGGAUUGAAGCUAUUGUUUGAGCUCAUUUUGUUUAUUUCGGCGCGGCAGCUUCGCUGCCGCGCCGAAACAAACAAAAUAGCGAGUGCGGAAAGCCGGAAAAAGC